rnacentral:rRNA from 1 species
UAGGGAAUCUUCGGCAAUGGACGGAAGUCUGACCGAGCAACGCCGCGUGAGUGAAGAAGGUUUUCGGAUCGUAAAGCUCUGUUGUAAGAGAAGAACGAGUGUGAGAGUGGAAAGUUCACACUGUGACGGUAUCUUACCAGAAAGGGACGGCUAACUACGUGCCAGCAGCCGCGGUAAUACGUAGGUCCCGAGCGUUGUCCGGAUUUAUUGGGCGUAAAGCGAGCGCAGGCGGUUAGAUAAGUCUGAAGUUAAAGGCUGUGGCUUAACCAUAGGAGGCUUUGGAAACUGUUUAACUUGAGUGCAAGAGGGGAGAGUGGAAUUCCAUGUGUAGCGGUGAAAUGCGUAGAUAUAUGGAGGAACACCGGUGGCGAAAGCGGCUCUCUGGCUUGUAACUGACGCUGAGGCUCGAAAGCGUGGGGAGCAAACAGGAUUAGAUACCCUGGUAGUCCACGCUGUAAACGAUGAGUGCUAGGUGUUAGACCCUUUCCGGGGUUUAGUGCCGUAGCUAACGCAUUAAGCACUCCGCCUGGGGAGUACGACCGCAAGGUUG